GUCUAUGGCCAUGCACGCUGAACAAGCCUGAUCCUGUCUGAUCUCAAAAGUUAAGCAGUGUUGGGCCUGGUUAGUACUUGGAUAGGAGACCACCUAGGAAGAUUAGGUACUGUAGGCA
rnacentral:rRNA from 1 species